rnacentral:piRNA from 1 species
UAAUUUGUACUACUGGAUAUCUGAC